GUUUUCGGUGGGAAUUGUCCUUCAAACACACCUGUACCUCCGAUGCUACCGUAGCAUGACACACAAUACUGGAGAAGAUGGCAGCCGCCCCCUCAAUCACCUUCCCCCUCAAGCCUUUCGGCUCUGAGAUGGCACCUCCAGUAGACCAUCAACCCUGGGGGCAGCUAAACUACACACACACCGCUCCUUAUUUGUAUUUGUACCUGGAGGGAUCCAAAGACGAGUCGGCAAUGUGACAGAGUAACACCCUCGACGGGAGUGCAAACUCGCCACAAAGCUGAACAUUUUUUCCAUCAGAUAAUAGAUCACACUCUGUUCAGGGAGUUAUCAAGACUAUUUUCCUCCUGGAAACAAAAUACGGUUUCAACAAAGAUUUUGGGCACCCUCAUAUUUCCUACUGUAUGCACACUAAGGAGACGCACCUGUUCCCAUAACAGAGUCUGUUUUUAAACGUAUGCCUGUUUUUAACCAUUUAUUGUCUUUGUUCCAUGUCUGCACUCCAAGUCCACAAGUUAAAAAUGACCUAGCCUCACA